AGAAACUUAGGAUAAUCACCAAACCGAAG
rnacentral:tRNA from 1 species